UUGCUUACUUCGGCAGCACAUGUACCAAGUUUGGAAUGAUACAGAGAUUAGCAUGGCCCCUGCACAAGAAGGGAACACUGCGGGGAGAAUCCCGAGUCCCU
ensembl:snRNA U6 U6 spliceosomal RNA